AUACGUAGGGUGCGAGCGUUGUCCGGAAUUACUGGGCGUAAAGAGCUCGUAGGUGGUUUGUCGCGUCGUCUGUGAAAUUCCGGGGCUUAACUCCGGGCGUGCAGGCGAUACGGGCAUAACUUGAGUACUGUAGGGGAGACUGGAAUUCCUGGUGUAGCGGUGAAAUGCGCAGAUAUCAGGAGGAACACCGGUGGCGAAGGCGGUUCUCUGGGCAGUAACUGACGCUGAGGAGCGAAAGCAUGGGUAGCGAACAGGAUUAGAUACCCUGGUAGGCCAUGCCGUAAACGGUGGGCGCUAGGUGUAGGGGUCUUCCACGACUUCUGUGCCGUAGCUAACGCAUUAAGCGCCCCGCCUGGGGAGUACGGCCGCAAGGCUAAAACUCAAAUGAAUUGACGGGG
rnacentral:rRNA from 1 species